AACCCACACCUGUGCAGGGGAGGGUGAGGUCAUCCUAAUAUUUCCUGGACACCUAGAGUUCUGGACGCAUUCCAAAUCCUUUUUUGGAGCCCCCCUCUUGGCUGCACCCUGUAACAUUACCACAAAAUUUUUCACAGAGAG